GCUGUAGCUCAGUGGUAGCAGAGAAUCUAGUUUACACACAGGAGGUCCCUGGUUUGAUCCCUGGCAUCUCCA